GUGCCAGCCGCCGCGGUAAUACGGAGGGGGCUAGCGUUGUUCGGAAUUACUGGGCGUAAAGCGUGCGCAGGCGGUUUUGUAAGACAGAUGUGAAAUCCCUGGGCUUAACCUGGGAACUGCAUUUGUGACUGCAAGGCCAGAGUACGGCAGAGGGGGGUAGAAUUCCAUGUGUAGCAAUGAAAUGCGUAGAUAUGUGGAGGAAUACCAAUGGCGAAGGCAGCCCCCUGGGUUAACACUGACGCUCAUGCACGAAAGCGUGGGGAGCAAACAGGAUUAGAUACCCUGGUAGUCCACGCCCUAA
rnacentral:rRNA from 1 species